UACAGAGGGUGCGAGCGUUAAUCGGAAUUACUGGGCGUAAAGCGUGCGUAGACGGUAGCGUAAGUCAGAUGUGAAAGCCCCGGGCUCAACCUGGGAAUUGCAUUUGAGACUGCUCUGCUCGGGUGCGGAAGAGGGAAGCGGAAUUUCCGGUGUAGCGGUGAAAUGCGUAGAUAUCGGAAGGAACACCAGUGGCGAAAGCGGCUUCCUGGUCCGACACCGACGUUCAGGCCACGAAAAGCGUGGGGAGCGAACGGG
rnacentral:rRNA from 1 species